GAAAAAGAUCCAGCAAAAAAGGAUAAAAACACAAGAUCAUGAACUGGUGGGUAGGGGGAACGACACACCAAGGUGGCGAUGGGUAGCCGAGAUGAGAAAAUGAUCAGCCACACUGGGACUGGGACACGGCCCAGACUCCUACGGGAGGCAGCAGUGGGGAAUCUUGCGCAAUGGGCGAAAGCCUGACGCAGCAACGCCGCGUGCGGGAUGAAGGCUCUCGGGUCGUAAACCGCUUUCAGCAGGGAUGAAAAUGACAGUACCUGCAGAAGGAGCCCCGGCUAAAUACGUGCCAGCGGCCGCGGUAAUACGUAUGGGGCAAGCGUUAUCCGGAUUCAUUGGGCGUAAAGCGCGCGUAGGCGGCUUGUUAAGUCAGGCGUGAAAUCCGGGGGCUCAACCCGCGGCUUGCGUCUGAAACUGGCAGGCUUGAGUCUGGUAGAGGAAAGUGGAAUUCCUGGUGUAGCGGUGAAUGCGCAGAUAUCAGGAGGAACACCAGUGGCGAAGGCGGCUUUCUGGGCCACGACUGACGCUGAGGCGCGAAAGCUAGGGGAGCGAACAGGAUUAGAUACCCUGGUAGUC
rnacentral:rRNA from 1 species